UACAGAGGGGGCAAGCGUUGUUAGGAAUUACUGGGCGUAAAGGGCGCGUAGGCGGCCCGCCAAGUCCCGUGUGAAAGCCCCCGGCUCAACCGGGGAACGGCGCGGGAAACUAGCAGGCUUGAGUUCGGGAGAGGGAAGCGGAAGUCCGGGUGUAGCGGUGAAAUGCGCAGAUAUCCGGAGGAACACCGGUGGCGAGGGCGGAUUCCUGGACCGACACUGACGCUGAGGCGCGAAAGCUAGGGGAGCAAACGGG
rnacentral:rRNA from 1 species